GAUGAACGCUAGCGGCAGGCUUAAUACAUGCAAGUCGAGGGGUAACAUGGGGUAGCAAUACUCUGAUGACGACCGGCAAACGGGUGCGGAACACGUACGCAACUUUCCCAAAACUGGUGAAUAGCCCUCCGAAAGGAGGAUUAAUACACCGUAACAUAACGAGGUGGCAUCAUCUUGUUAUUAUAGCUCCGGCGGUUUUGGAUGGGCGUGCGCCUGAUUAGGUAGUUGGCGGGGUAACGGCCCACCAAGCCUACGAUCAGUAACUGGUGUGAGAGCACGACCAGUCACACGGGCACUGAGACACGGGCCCGACUCCUACGGGAGGCAGCAGUAAGGAAUAUUGGUCAAUGGACGAAAGUCUGAACCAGCCAUGCCGGCGUGAAGGAUGAAGGCCCUCUGGGUU
rnacentral:rRNA from 1 species